UGGGGCUUUUUGGGGUAGGGACCAACUUCUGAGGCUUCUCCCAGUUGUAUUUUCUGAGAUUCAGUGAGUCAGUCUUGCCUACAGCUGCUGCUGUGAUCAUGUGCUAAGGGCCUACUUCUGCAUAGCAACCAGCACAGUUCUCAGUAAACAGCGUUUACUUUAAAAUCCCAAGCAAAAUACAUUCUAAUGAAGUCCAGGAGUAAUGAGAACCAGCAGCUGGAGGAUAGAUGGUCUGAACACCUUGUUGUUGGUGAGACAGCUGCUCAGGAGCUCUGAGCUUGUCCAGGGUCUGAACUCAGGCUGGUUUGGAGAGCAAAACUGAGGGAAGUUCACUUAAUGAGGGAGGUAUUUCAGAAGGGAUGGACUAAUCAUGAAGGUAACUGGACAAAUACAUCUUGGCAGCUCCCAAUAUGCCAAGACACAUUCCUACGAGAUCCAGAAGAGACAGUUACCCUUCUUCUGCCUUCCAGCCUCCUUGGACCUACAGUGGUACCUCUGUCUGUCUUCUAGUAUUGGCAUGCCUCUCCAGAACAUCCGCAACAAGGGAUUUACAGAAGCUGAAGCAGGGCUUGACUUUGCCUGAUAACGGGGUUCAUUUAUCUUGGAUGCCUCUUGUCACCAAUACAGCAAAUCAGGAACCGAGUGCCAUACAGUCACAUGAUGUUUCGGUAUGGUUUCAGGACUCUCUUUUGUGAGGCUUUGUUGCUGCAGUUCUGCAGAUGAAUUGUGUUUCAGUGAACUAGUGUUGUACUAAUGGAUAAUGAAAGUUCAUAAAGUUUAUGCUGUUGAAGUUCCUUUCAUUUUAUGCAGUUACUUUCUUACUCUUAUGUCUUUAUUGCUUGCUUUUAGGAAAGAAGAUGGGUUGCUGUUACCAUUUAACCAAACAACACAUGCACCACUUGGAUGGCCAUUCAAGUGGCAGAGAACACCAGUGGGAGGCCAGAAGGAGCUUUCCUUAAUUUAAAGGGUUCAAAAUCUGCUGGGAACUUGUGGCUGCUUUCUCUUCAGUGAUGGGGCAGUGGAGCUGACAGGUUUUAUGCAUUCUGCUCUGCAAGCUGCAGAUUGUGAAUGUAGGUGGUGGUGCUUGCUUGGGAUGCCUUGAUGUGUAUGCUUUGCCUGGUGAGGAGAGGGCAAGUAAAGGUUUUAUAGUGUUCACCCAAGAGAUCUACCAGUGACUUCAGUGUAAAAGUCAAAGCACUGGGUAAUAGACAAGUUUUCUUAGGAGGAAUAGGUUAUGCCCUAGAAUCUAGAACAAAAAUUUGCAUGUAAGACACCAGUAGUUCUUCAUAGUGUAUGUAACUGGUUUCUUGGUGAAGCCAAAAUAAGAAAAAAAUAGGUAAGGAUUUUUACCAGCCCCCAAAAAACUCAGUGGGAAAUGGUAAAGUAAAAUAGCUCUGAAGCAAGGUAUUUUUAUACUAAAAACCAGCAGAUGUGUCCUAGAUUUUUGCCACAGGCAUCCAAAUUCCAGUCAUCACUUACUGCACAGCUUUAGGUGGUAGCUGGAAUCUGUGCUUGAUCUAGAACUUCACGUAUUUGUGUCGUUCCAGCAUGGUCCUCAUUGUAGGUAUAUCUGGUUUCGCAGCAUUGGAGUGCCAUCCUUUCUCAUGAUUCAUACCAACCUCUGCUUUGACUGGGGUCUAAUUUAUGGGUGUUAAAUCUACAAGAAUGGGUACAAUUUAUUUGCAUACUGCAGAUUCUCACAUCUAAUUCUUGCAUCUAUUUCUAAGAGUUGUAGGUCACUCUGUCCAACUAUAACCCACGGCGGCUAACAUAAGUAGAAACCUAUAGCAGACUUGAGCUUCUAACAUAUAUUAAAGUAGUGAUCAUCUCAAUGCAAUAAAAAAAAGGCACUGCCAAGAUCUAAUUUACUGUGUUUCUAACUGUCUUGUAAUGUGAAUUACUGGGAAAAAAGUCCAUAUUCAGCUGUAUCAGCCACUGUCAGUAUAGUAUUGAUGUACAUUGAGGCUGUAAACAAGGCUUGUCUAAUGAGAACAGUCAGGAAAAGUAAGAUUAGUUUAUGCCACAGGAAGUUUAAUCGUAUGUUUCUCAGCCUGAAUUCUGUGGGCUGCAUCUGAUCUCUAAGACCUUAAAAGGCAAAGUCUAAAAUGGUCACAAAAAAAAAAAAGGAAAAGA
rnacentral:lncRNA from 1 species